UGCACCCGCGCGCGAUGAAGCAGGGACGGACGAGCUAGGGUUUAGAAGCGCGGGGUGAAUGAGCCGGCAGGGGACGGGGUCGGGGGGAAGUGGAAGGAAGACGCGGCGGGAGUUUUCGCGGGGUUCCUCCUUUCCUUGCGCGACAAGGACGACGGCUUUCCCCCAUUUUUUCACUGACAAGUGGGGCCCGGAGAACCUCGCGCCACAAGCCCCCGAUUGACAAAAGAGGACGUUCACGUUCGAACGCACUCAAAUAUCGGAGCUGUUCAUCAAAUCAAAAAAGCUUGGAAAAUAUGUAAUGCUCCCCGAGACAACUCCAGCAUAGCAGUUUCAAAAUCAGUUUCAAAACUUUCAAUGCAGCACAAACACUUGUAUUGCCAGGCACAUUUUAAAUUUGUGUUUUAGUCGUGUGCAAACUGCAUUCAUUCAACAUAGCUGCAAUCAGUUACAAAA